GUCUCAAGGCCGCGAGAAGAGUCAAAAGGAGGAAGGAAAGAAACCAAACCCGUUGACGGAGAAGAGAUCAGUAAAAGAAAGCGACACAUACACAAAUCUUUCACAAAGGAGACCCCUUUGAUUGUUUGGUUUAGACCCGAAACUCAUCAUCUUCUUCAAUUCAUCCUCUUCCUCCUCUCACUAGGUUCAAGUCUUUAUAGUCCUCAGUUUUGAUUUCAUCAUUCGCAGACAUCGAUCUUACCCCGUUCUUAGCUUUUGACUUCUUAAAUUUCUAGUUUCGUGUCCUUUCUUUUCUUCUGAUAUGCUUAUAGUUCAUUCUUGAUUUAUCCUUUUCAUAAUUUCUUUCGUGGUUUGCUUCAUUCUUUAGAAUCACUGCAAAGCAAGGAUACCCAUUUGGGUUUUGCUGCAUUUUUCACAAUCUCUUUGUAAUUCUCUCAUCUGGGUUUUCUUCAUUUGCUCUUUCUAUAUAUACAUUCAAGAAGAUAUCUUUAAAGGGGUUUCUUGGAUAUAUCCUUUCUGAGAAUCAGCUAUGGGGGAUUUGGGCGACUCAGCGACAGUGCAAAUAACAGGCAAGAUCAUGGUGCUUGCCGUAAUGAUUUUAUUUAUGGUGGUGGUUUUUGUUCUCUUGCUUCAUCUCUAUGCAAAAUGGUUUUGGUGGCGCGUUGAAGAGCCUAAUCCUCCGGCACGUUCUCGUCGGAACCGCCGCCGUUUCGUUUUUACCCCUGGUCAGGACCCAGUGCGGAGAGGGCUUGACCUCUCAGUCCUCAGAUCCCUACCAGUUGUAAUUUUCCAAUCCAAAGACUUCAAAGAUGGGUUGGAAUGCGCAGUUUGCUUAUCUGAAGUUGCAGAAGGGGAAAAAACGAGGUUGUUGCCCAAAUGCAACCAUGGAUUCCAUGUUGAUUGUAUUGACAUGUGGUUUCAAUCCCACUCCACUUGCCCUCUCUGUAGAAACUCAGUAGCGCCAUUACCCGAAUGCUCCAGCUUCGACAGUAAUGAUUUGCAAGAUAAUAUUCAUUCUCCAGAGGAAAUUUUGGCUUCUGGGUAUUCGACAGAAUCUCCAAAUUUUCCCACAAAUGUGUUGUUUUGGGGGGACCAGACUCAAGUAAGCACUGGCGGCGGAGGCGGCGGCUUGGAAGAAGGAACUUCCACUCAAGCACCUUCUUCUUCUUCUUCUUCCUCU
rnacentral:misc_RNA from 1 species